GUUUUUCAUUCCCCUUAUUCAUUUGUAGUUUUCUUCUGUGUGACGGACCGCAUGCAUGGUCCCAUGCCCAAAACAGUUCCAGAGAAUCAGGGCUUGCAGUCAGUCUAGUUCGGUAGUUUAAAAUCCGAACAAACUACCGAACAUAGUCAAUGUUCUUACCCUGGAGCUUGUUCACAAUGUUCGUGGGAACGUUUCCACUGAACAGUGCCCUUCUAAGUUGUGUAGAACCGAAUGCAGAUGAUCCUGGAAGUCCAGUGGUGUUCGGGAGUUUCAGAGUCUGAAAACAGUUCCAUG